GCGGAAUGUUACAUGUUUCGUAGGUGACCUGCGAAAGGAUCAUUUA
rnacentral:rRNA from 1 species